AGGUCUGAAUACUUUCCGAAGACACUGUAUGCAUCCUAAACAUGAACGAUGGGCCCACCGCAAAAGUGUGUAUCAUCAGAAAGAUGCUGGAGCACAAGGGCCAUGAGAAUUCGCACUCAGAGAAUGUGACAAACCGCAUCCACCCAGACCUGGUCGCAUAUAUUGAGAUCUUGGAUCUUCAAGGCAAGGCAUGACAUUGCUAACAGUAUCAUGAAUAGGGUGAAGAGCAGUGGGUGGCGGACAGGGGAUUCAUCCCAUCUCUCAGGGACAUCCUGUAUCUAAAGAAUCAAAUGAAGACCCUGGACAGGCAUCAUGAAAACAACUAAUUGAGUGUUGACUCGUUUGUGAAAACAACCCUUAAGAGUGAGACAUUGUACUAUCAGCCUCUCUGCAGAGCAACAGGUCAACCACUGAUACUCAUAUUUCAAAAUGCAGAGCAGAGGCACAAAAUGUUGCAGUGUGGGAAGAAUCUACUUUCCAUGGACGCUUCAUAUUUUGGCAGUAGUUGGCAGGGAUGAAAGUGGGCAUGGCUCCCCGGUGGCAACAUUCAUCAUCACUGAAGAGACCCAGAAAAACAUUGCCUUCUGCCUGAGAAAGAUCUGGACAGCUGCUCACGACUUUGAGACAAGGAGAAAGACUAAUGAAGAUGCUUCAGGAUCAUUGGAGGAACCACUUCCCUAUCCCUUUGGCCUACCUAAAAAUAACUGGUUCCCUUGUUCUCCUAUGUGGGCUGACCACUGGAGGAAGUUCUUCCACGAGAACAGCAACACCAACAAUCUCACCGAGAGGUAUUUAAUUAUCUUAAAAUGUCACAUAACAUUAACAAUGCCAAUUAUUAAAUUCAAGA